UACGGAGGGUGCAAGCGUUAUCCGGAUUCACUGGGUUUAAAGGGUGCGUAGGUGGGCAGUUAAGUCAGUGGUGAAAUCUCCGGGCUCAACCCGGAAACUGCCAUUGAUACUAUCUGUCUUGAAUAUCGUGGAGGUAAGCGGAAUAUGUCAUGUAGCGGUGAAAUGCUUAGGUAUGACAUAGAACACCAAUUGCGAAGGCAGCUUACUACCCGAAUAUUGACACUGAGGCACGAGAGCGUGGGGAUCAAACAGG
rnacentral:rRNA from 1 species